GAGCCUGAUUUCUUCCCGGGUCCCCCCAUAAAUCCCGCAAUUAAUCCCACAUCCACCGUCCCACCUGACUCUCACCCCCAUCUUGACUGCCUCCACGAGGCCGCCACAGCUCCAUUGCCGAGCUAACCACGCCCCUCGCUGAUCCGGUUCUCUCCUUCAGCGAUCUUCCAGUCCCACUGCGGCCGUGAGAUUCACCGCGCCGGUGUGGCAUCCCUCUGGUGGUUGCGCCUGCCAUUAUCCAUGGUACAAGCUCAGAACCCCCCUUGCCUUCCUGUUCCUCUCCCGUGUUGGUGUCCUAUGUGCCACCCAUGAUGUUCUCUCCUGCAUGGACAUCCCAAAGACGCUCUUAGGUGGCACAUGUGCUGGUCCUAUUGCUGCGUGUGAUGUGCCUUGCUGCUAAGCGUUGAUCCAGUUUGUUAGGAGAAAAGAAGAGAAAAGAAGCGGCGAAAGUGACACAGUCCAGUACAGAUCUCGCAUUGAAUCCUCCCCUAUAAGGGUUUCUCUGCCUACAACCUGAUGCAUUGUAAAGAUGUCGAGUACGCUACCACCAAGAUGUGGUGGUCUUAUUGAUGACGGCGAGCUCGCGUGCAUGUGAGAUAGUCCAGUCAGCGUGCUUGCGACGCUAACUAGACGGGUGGAAAAUAAUGUUGUUGUGAUAGCAAUUUUUAUUUCUUAAUAAUUUUUAAAAAUGAGGACAUAUGUAAUUACCAGUUGCAUAUUUUGCCCAGCCCUUCAUUGUCACCAUGGAAGCAAAUUCUCGAUAUAAUUGAAGCAAUGGUUCAUUGUCGUGGAAGCAUAUCCCAUAACGGAAGCAACAUGUGCUUACAACAGAACAAAAAUUUCAUUAUAUUCCAAGGAGAUAGGAGUUUGCUUCCAUCUGCCUAUUCACAACACAAGCAGACACAAAUUAUUCGACACAAAUGAUGGUAACAAUUUAUAUUAUUAUGGAAGCAAGUUGAGUCGAUGAUAGUAUAUUAUAAUUGAGUCGAAUGUUGAGUUGGAUAAAUUUUUUCUUACAUCGGGCUUGCUUGAUUUGUAUGGAGAUACAGGGUUAAUGCUCUGCCGAAUAUGCAUGCAAGGCACUGUUUUGGAUUGUUUGGCAUUUUAUGGCAACCUUCAGAUGUUGAUGCAAAAGACAAGUGACAUGUUACUGUUUUCAUAUGAUCUAUUUAAUUAGCUUUUGUCCAAUGUGGUCAUGGCACAAGGCACAAUUUUGCCAAAUGUAUUGCUUGAUACAGGUAGGGAACAUAAACACAUCUACAUGAGCUAUUUCAUUCUUUGCUUUGCUAUUUUAAUGCUUUGCUUUGCUAACUAUUGCUAUGUUAGUAACUUCCAAUAGCAUAUGACAUGAAAUAUUCAUUGCAUUUUAUUUUAUUUUGCACCCUGAUCCACUCACCCAAGAAGGGGCAGUUAUCCAUGAGUAGAAUCUUGGAUUAACUUGUAUCAAUCUUGUUUUUGUAAGGAUCGCAAUGAAGCAAAGUAGAAUCACAAGAGGACACAAAAGUUGUGUUUUAGUAGAACGUGUCAUAGUCUCAUCUUCGAUAGUAAUAUGCAAUGAUUUUUUUGUAAGUUUAAUAUUAGUAGCACGUUCCUUGUAAUUGAUCUACAGUGAUGGCGGCAACACUAAGCUAGAACCCAAUAUUGACUCAUUCAGCAUGGGCAUGCUGCUAGAUAUGCAUGCAUGUCAAUGCUUGUUUUACAUGGAGCUUCGUGAUGUACAUUGACCAUGAUGAUCCUUUCAUUUUUAUUAUCCAACUACUUAUAUUAUUUUAUCAGAACUUAAGGAUUCACUGAAGCUUGUGGCUUUCGAUUUUCUCAUCGAAAACUACAAAGCUUCACUGAAGGGAUGACACGACUUAAGUUCAAGUCAUUGAGGGAGUGAUAAUUCUUACAGAUCAAAGUAAACACCUAUCGUAUGUGGGUUUCAAAAAUACAAAAGUCUGAUAAUAGACAAAAACACUCAUCGUUCAACUUAUUUGUAUAUUUUUAUGAACUAUAUUAUUAGUGACGCUUUGUGGUCAAGGAUAUAAUUUUUUUUCUGUGGAUGAAUUGAGUUAUUAAAUUUCAUUCCAGGCUUGAGCAUGACAAUGAGUAGAGGUGCACAAUGUGUGUACAAGAUUGUUACACUAUCAUCUUAGCCCAGUUUUGCACA